AUGGAUGGACCCGCGUCGCAUUAGCUAGUUGGUGAGGUAACGGCUCACCAAGGCAACGAUGCGUAGCCGACCUGAGAGGGUGAUCGGCCACACUGGGACUGAGACACGGCCCAGACUCCUACGGGAGGCAGCAGUAGGGAAUCUUCCGCAAUGGACGAAAGUCUGACGGAGCAACGCCGCGUGAGUGAUGAAGGCUUUCGGGUCGUAAAACUCUGUUGUUAGGGAAGAACAAGUGCUAGUUGAAUAAGCUGGCACCUUGACGGUACCUAACCAGAAAGCCACGGCUAACUACGUGCCAGCAGCCGCGGUAAUACGUAGGUGGCAAGCGUUAUCCGGAAUUAUUGGGCGUAAAGCGCGCGCAGGUGGUUUCUUAAGUCUGAUGUGAAAGCCCACGGCUCAACCGUGGAGGGUCAUUGGAAACUGGGAGACUUGAGUGCAGA
rnacentral:rRNA from 1 species